rnacentral:rRNA from 1 species
GAUGAACGCUGGCGGCGUGCCUAAUACAUGCAAGUCGAGCGAAUGGACGAGAAGCUUGCUUCUCUGAUGUUAGCGGCGGACGGGCGAGUAACACGUGGAUAACCUACCUAUAAGACUGGGAUAACUUCGGGAAACCGGAGCUAAUACCGGAUAAUAUUUUGAACCGCAUGGUUCAAAAGUAAAAGACGGUCUUGCUGUCACUUAUAGAUGGAUCCGCGCUGCAUUAGCUAGUUGGUAAGGUAACGGCUUACCAAGGCAACGAUGCAUAGCCGACCUGAGAGGGUGAUCGGCCACACUGGAACUGAGACACGGUCCAGACUCCUACGGGAGGCAGCAGUAGGGAAUCUUCCGCAAUGGGCGAAAGCCUGACGGAGCAACGCCGCGUGAGUGAUGAAGGUCUUCGGAUCGUAAAACUCUGUUAUUAGGGAAGAACAUAUGUGUAAGUAACUGUGCACAUCUUGACGGUACCUAAUCAGAAAGCCACGGCUAACUACGUG